GUGUUGUAUGAAAGGAGAGCUGGUUAGCACUCCCCUUGACAAGGAUGGAAUUUAAACACACAAUAUGGUAAGGCACAACUUACCACAUUUUUUUC